rnacentral:rRNA from 1 species
CAGACCUCUAAUCGGAAAAGACUACCCGCUGAGUUUAAGCAUAUCACUAAGCGGAGGAGAAGAAACUAACCAGGAUUU